rnacentral:rRNA from 1 species
AGGACGAACGCUGGCGGCGUGCUUAACACAUGCAAGUCGAGCGGUAAGGCUCCUUCGGGAGUACACGAGCGGCGAACGGGUGAGUAACACGUGAGCAAUCUGCCCUUCACACUGGGAUAACCCCGGGAAACCGGGGCUAAUACCGGAUGCGACCACCGACGGCAUCGUCUGGUGGUGGAAAGUUCCGGCGGUGGAGGAUGAGCUCGCGGCCUAUCAGCUUGUUGGUGGGGUAAUGGCCUACCAAGGCUUCGACGGGUAGCCGGCCUGAGAGGGUGACCGGCCACACUGGGACUGAGACACGGCCCAGACUCCUACGGGAGGCAGCAGUGGGGAAUAUUGGACAAUGGGCGAAAGCCUGAUCCAGCAACGCCGCGUGAGGGAUGACGGCCUUCGGGUUGUAAACCUCUUCCAGCAGGGACGAAGCGCAAGUGACGGUACCUGCAGAAGAAGCACCGGCCAACUACGUGCCAGCAGCCGC